UAACGGCUUUACUUUGAGAAAACAGAACUAGAAUGCAGUUUCUUGCUUAGUUUAAAGUGAACUGCUAAGGGGCCAUUUUUCUCCUUUAAAGCAAUGUAAAAGGGGGCAGAACAAAGCCACAGUAUUUCUGUCCUGUAGUUGCCUGUUCUCCACGGUAAAGCUUUAGAUGUCAUUGUCGGCCAGAGCAGAUGAAGAGGAAAAUAUGCAGAGGAAUAAGAAGGAAAGUUCAAGAAAUCAUCCAAGAACUUCAAUAAGAAUGGCUCCUGCAUUGACCGGGGAGACAGAUGAGAGAGAGCAACCAAAGGACUGUGAACCAGUUCCAGGGCACAGGAGGCUAGGUGAGAGGCAAGCGUCGGGCAGGUGUAAUCCAGCUCUCCACAGGACA